rnacentral:rRNA from 1 species
UACGGAGGGUGCAAGCGUUGCUCGGAAUUAUUGGGCGUAAAGGGUAGGUAGGUGGUCUUAUGUGUCUGGGGUGAAAGCCUUGAGCUUAACUCAAGAAGUGCCCCAGAAACGGUGAGACUGGAGUCCUGGAGAGGGUCGUGGAAUUCCCGGUGUAGCGGUGAAAUGCGUAGAGAUCGGGAGGAACACCAGAGGCGAAAGCGGCGACCUGGACAGGUACUGACACUCAACUACGAAAGCGUGGGGAGCAAACAGG